rnacentral:rRNA from 1 species
GACGAACGCUGGCGGCGUGCCUAAUACAUGCAAGUUGAGCGAUGAAGAUUGGUGCUUGCACCCAUUUGAAGAGCAGCGAACGGGUGAGUAACGCGUGGGGAAUCUGCCUUUGAGCGGGGGACAACAUUUGGAAACGAAUGCUAAUACCGCAUAACAACUUUAAACAUAAGUUUUAAGUUUGAAAGAUGCAAUUGCAUCACUCAAAGAUGAUCCCGCGUUGUAUUAGCUAGUUGGUGAGGUAAAGGCUCACCAAGGCGAUGAUACAUAGCCGACCUGAGAGGGUGAUCGGCCACAUUGGGACUGAGACACGGCCCAAACUCCUACGGGAGGCAGCAGUAGGGAAUCUUCGGCAAUGGACGAAAGUCUGACCGAGCAACGCCGCGUGAGUGAAGAAGGUUUUCGGAUCGUAAAACUCUGUUGGUAGAGAAGAACGUUGGUGAGAGUGGAAAGCUCAUCAAGUGACGGUAACUACCCAGAAAGGGACGGCUAACUACGUG